CAAAAACCCGAGGAAGCCGAGCGCCAUAGCCGCCGUCGCCGAGCCAUCCGCCGCGCCAAGUCCUCCCCGCCGCGUCCGAGCUCGCCGCCAGCUUCGCAGUAGCGGGAGGAACUCGUUUUGCUGCUCGCCGAAGUCUCUCCGCCGUCGGAACCGAGUUCUCUCCGCUCGCCGGAAGCUUCCCCGCCCGUCGGAUUCGCCUCUCCGCCGUCGCAGCCGGAUCCCCGUCGACUUCCGAGCGCCGCCGCCCGCCAUUGUCGUCGCCCGUCGCCGUCAAGACCUCCCCGGCCGUCGACAAGCCCCCGGAGGAGAGCAGAGUGCCAGCAUCCAAGACCAAGUUUUCGAAGAUUCUGAGCAGCCAGCUUACGAAGGCAAGUGUCCUUGAUCACCUUGAUUUAACCAUAGAUCAUUAUAGUUUACUUUUCCUUAGUUGCAUGCUUGUCUAAUUUUGAAUCCCAUGAAUAGGGUUUACUAGAAUUUGUAUGGCCAUUCCUUGUAGCCUUUUUGGGGUUUUGGGUCCUGUAAAAGGGUAGUCAUGCUAGUGCAGUCAUGGAUUAGAAUCAUUAUGAACUUUGAUUAAUAACUAUGGAACAAGUACUUGGGAGAAUUGAUAAUCUUGUAGUAACUUGAAUUUAGGGAUCCCAACUGGAUGGCUAGUAUGUGGUGGAGCUAUACAGCAGGGUUUGUGUAUGUUCUUGUGUGGGAUCCUAAGGACCGGUUCUUGGAGCCUGUAACCUGGCAAAACAGCACAACCAUGGGGCCUAUAUGGGUACGGCCUGGCUAAGUAAUUAGUGUUUUUCGCAUUCUGUACGCACCAAUGGUUGGUUCGGUGGCACAAGAGGGGGCCUCUGCAGUGGAUGGGAUCCCUGUUAGCGGUGAAACCUUAGUGGGUGCUUAUAGAUGUGAAGAUACUUUGUAACAGCCUUGUAGUGAGACCCCGGCCAUACACCCCGGAAGUGUAAGGCAAAAAGGGAAUCACGACUCGUGGGUAAAGUGUGCAAACUCUGCAGAGUAAAUAACUGAUCGAUCAGCCGUGCUCACGGUCAAGAGCGGCUUGGACUUCUUCAGGAUUAGAUGGGAACUUUAAGGGUUGGUUUGGGUAGUCGGGUGGUGGUACUCCCGAUGAGUCGGUAGCCGGAUAUGGGAUAUCUGGUGAGUCUGGUAGUCGGAUGGAAUCCGAUGAGUUAUGUUCUUAUAUUGUUGGAAUAAAAUCUAGUAAAUAGGAUUGCUAGGUUGUUUGAGUCUGUUUUAGCUGAGCAUAGUCGCAGUAAAUUCCCAAGUUGAACUUUCCUUGUCAAUAGCCUGCAUGUCAUAUUUUUCCUCCACUUGCUGGGUACUUUAUGUACUCACGCUUGCCUUUUUCCCUACCCUCGGAUGCUGCUCAGAAGGUGAAGUCUUCGAGGAAGUCCCGGGCGAGGACGCUGAUUUCUAGAAGGAAGAAGGCGUUGAUUGAAGACCAUGUCCUAGGCUGGUGUUUCCCCCGGACAACGCCUGUGGAUGGAUGGGUGUUCCGCUGCCAAUUGAAGAUUUAUUAGUAUUUUCUUUCAGACCUACGGGUCCUUUUGUAAGGAUUGUUUACGUUAUUUAAGACACCGUUUAUGUUAUCACUAAUGACGUCGCUGCAUGUAUGUAAACUUGAUCCUGGCAUACAUGUGGAAUACAUCUGGUUGUUUCCUUUAAAACCGGGUGUGA